rnacentral:rRNA from 1 species
CCCGUGAACCAUCGAGUCUUUGAACGCAAGUUGCGCCCAAAGCCAUUAGGCCGAGGGCACGUCUGCCUGGGCGUCACGC